UUGUAAGAGAAGAAAGAGAAAAGAAGAGCAGAGCGAAAGCAAAAAUUGGGGAGGAAGGAGGAGAAGGAGAGGAAGAAGAAGAGUAAUAGAGAUUUCAGGGUUCAGAAACCCUAAUUUUUGAUAAAAAAUUUGUGGAUUUCUCGCAUCAAAAUUUGUUGUUUUCAAAUGAGUCGAUUAGGGUUUAUUAAAUGUAAAGUGUACCACGGAGAUGUAUAUUUGGGUGAAUUGGAAAAUUUACCCGCCAAAAAUCAACAGCAUUUUCAAUUUCCGAAUAAUGAGAUACGAAUCAGUCACUUGUCUAUGUCUAGUGAAAGAUGUAUCCCUCUAUCGAUUCUCCAAACUAUUUCUCCGUUCUCAAUUCGUUGCAAACUCGAAACUGCAACACAACCAACACCACUACCAAAUCCGAUCAACAAUGAGCAACCUCCAUUAACUCGUCUGCAUUACUCUUGUUUCCAUGAACUCAGGACUGCAGUUGUGGUGAUUGGAGAUGAAGAGAUACACUUGGUAGCAAUGCCAAGUAAACAAGAGAAGUUUCCCUGUUUUUGGUGUUUUUCUGUUCCAUUAGGUUUAUAUGGAUAUUGUGUAGGGAUGUUGAAUUUAAGAUGUUUAGCAAUUGUCUUUGAUCUAGAUGAGACACUUAUCGUUGCUAAUACAAUGAAAUCAUUCGAGGAUAAAAUUGAAGCUCUCCAACGUAGAAUAUCAUGUGAAACUGAUUUGUUUAGAGUUCAAGGAAUGACGGCUGAAAUCAAAAGGUAUAUAGAUGAUAAGUUACUGUUGAAACAAUAUUUAGAAGGAGAUACAGUUUUUGAUAAUGGUAAACUACUUAAAGCUCAACCUGAGGAAGUUCCCCCGUUAUCGAAUAGUCAUGACAGAGUUGUUCGCCCUGUUAUAAGAUUGCCAGAUAGAAAUACUGUUCUUACUCGAAUUAAUCCAGAGGUUCGUGACACAAGUGUGCUUGUGAGGUUGCGUCCUGCUUGGGAGGAUUUAAGAAGUUAUUUGACAGCAAAAGGGCGUAAACGUUUUGAGGUGUAUGUUUGUACAAUGGCUGAAAAAGAUUAUGCUCUAGAAAUGUGGAGGCUUCUUGAUCCAGAGGCACACCUGAUAAACCAUAAGCAAAUUCUUGACCGCGUUGUGUGUGUGAAAUCAGACUCCAAGAAGUCAUUGCUAAAUGUCUUUCGAAAUCGAAUCUGUCAUCCAAAGAUGGCAAUGGUGAUUGACGACCGGCUGAAGGUGUGGGAAGAUAAGGAUCAGCCUCGGGUUCAUGUUGUACCUGCAUUUACUCCAUAUUAUGCUCCUCAGGCAGAGACAGCAAAUGCAGUACCGGUUUUGUGCGUAGCAAGAAAUGUUGCCUGCAAUGUUAGAGCUGGGUUUUUCAAAGAAUUUGACGAAAAUCUAUUGAGAAAAAUUUCUGAAAUUUGCUAUGAAGAUGAAGUUGCAAAUUUGCCUUAUCCACCUGAUGUUAGUGAUUUUAUGAUGUCAGAGGAUGCUGGUUUUAUACCAAAUGGCAACAGAGAUGCCCCCAUAAUUGAGGGUAUGCAUGGUGCUGAAGUUGAACAGAGACUAAAGCAACCUGAUGACAAGAAAAUGGUGGAUUCAGCAGCACCUUUUGUUGGUAAUAAUCAUGAUUUGAGGCCUCACAUUUCGCAGCAACCAGUAACUGUCUCGCACGACGUUACCUGGCCGUCGGCUCCGAGAACCUUUGUGCCACUACAGAAGCCUAGUUUGCUUGGAGUUUCUGUGAGACGAGAAGUCAAUCCUUCAGAGUUAUACCCUGAAUCAGGGAGAAGAAUCAUCACCAUGCCUCACGGACAGGAUGUGCGGGAACCUGGGUUGGGUGACUCUUCAAAUCUAUCAAGACCAUUUGUACAAGUAGCAGUACCAUCAGUCCAGGGUCGCGGAGGUUGGUUGGUGGAAGAGGACCCCAACGUGGGACCUAGUAACCAAACGUUAAGGCAACUUCAGGAUGCUGGUGCAUCAAAUCCUGACAAACAACGAGGUUAUCAUCGCAGUGUUGAGAAUUCCUUACCCUCUGGCACUCUUCCUCCCCUACCUCAAGUAAAGAAUGAACAGGAGUUUUUGGGACAUAAACGGCAGAAACUUAAUGAUCAACUGUCAAGCCAGUCUUUGCCGUCAGAACAAAAUGGGAUAAAUUUGAAUCAAGUGUCCAUUACCACCAGAGAAAAUGAAACUGGAAAAGUGUUUCCUCCCUCUAUGUCUAUAGGAGUGCUGCAAGAAAUUGGUCGUAGGUGUGGCAGUAAGGUUGAGUACAAAUUUGAUACAAGCACGAGUAAGGAUCUGCAGCUUUUCGUUGAGGUUUUGUUCGGUGGUGAGAAGAUAGGGGUUGGCAAGGGAAAAACAAGGAAAGAUGCUCAGCAACAGGCAGCUGAGAACGCUCUUCGCAGCUUGGCAGAUAAAUAUGUUGCACACAUUGCACCUGAGUCUGGAGCUGUGCACAAAGAUUUGGAUAAACUCUCCCUCGUAAAGGAAAAUGGAUUCAUAUGGGAUAUUAUGGAUCCAGCGAAGGAUGAGUUGUCGAAGGAGGUGGCUUUGCCAAACUUGAGUACUUCGCGAACACCUUUUAUGGUGUAGCAACAAAUCAGAAUUAGUUUAAACUAGAACAGAAUAGUGGUAAUUUCACCUAAAAGUGAUUGAAGUUUUGAUCAUCAUGUUCUUAAGCUUGUAAUUUGGUCAAGUGUAAAGCUGUCAUAUCCUAUUGGUCUGUAAUAGUCAGGAAAUGGGCCUGGAUGCUAUUGGAUUAAGCAGUCCGAGGUUAAGGCGUUCAAAAUGGCAACCAGAUAAAAGUCCUGUGUUUGGGGUAUUAUGUUAUCUCACGGUCACAGGUAGCAUUCAAGAGGGAACUGAAUUUAGUUGUGAGAUUAGAUUUUUUGGAGCUGAAGUAUGAUGUCCAUCUUUUGGAGCCGAAGUAUGAUGUCCGAAUAUUACAUCUAAAUUCAGAGGCAAGCGACUAUCUCUUUCAUUUUAUGGGCUGCAGUUCAUCAUUCAGUUCCAACUUGAGUAAUGCUGCAACAUCCAGGUAUCGCCAUACCUUCAUCUCUUUUUGUGUUGUGCAAUUGUGAUAAUUAAUGAGACUACUUGACAUUUUCUCUACACUGCUCUUAAACAAUAUG